rnacentral:rRNA from 1 species
AACGAACGCUGGCGGCAUGCCUAACACAUGCAAGUCGAACGAGACCUUCGGGCCUAGUGGCGCACGGGUGCGUAACGCGUGGGAAUCUGCCCUUGGGUUCGGAAUAACAGUUGGAAACGACUGCUAAUACCGGAUGAUGACGUAAGUCCAAAGAUUUAUGGCGCAAGGAUGAGCCCGCGUAGGAUUAGCUAGUUGGUGAGGUAAAGGCUCACCAAGGCGACGAUCCUUAGCUGGUCUGAGAGCAUGAUACGCCACACUGGGACUGAGACACGGCCCAGAAUCCGACGCAGGGGAGCAGUAGAGAAUACUAGGCGAGGAGCGAAAGCCUGAUACAGCAGUGUCGGGUGAGUGAUGAAGGGGUUAGGGUUGUAAAGCUCUUUUACCCGAAGUGAGAGUGACGGUACCGGGUGAAUAAGCUCCGGCUAACUACGUG